AGUGAACGCUGGCGGUAGGCCUAACACAUGCAAGUCGAACGGCAGCACAGUAAGAGCUUGCUCUUACGGGUGGCGAGUGGCGGACGGGUGAGGAAUACAUCGGAAUCUACUUUUUCGUGGGGGAUAACGUAGGGAAACUUACGCUAAUACCGCAUACGACCUACGGGUGAAAGCAGGGGAUCUUCGGACCUUGCGCGAUUGAAUGAGCCGAUGUCGGAUUAGCUAGUUGGCGGGGUAAAGGCCCACCAAGGCGACGAUCCGUAGCUGGUCUGAGAGGAUGAUCAGCCACACUGGAACUGAGACACGGUCCAGACUCCUACGGGAGGCAGCAGUGGGGAAUAUUGGACAAUGGGCGCAAGCCUGAUCCAGCCAUACCGCGUGGGUGAAGAAGGCCUUCGGGUUGUAAAGCCCUUUUGUUGGGAAAGAAAGGCAGCAGGUUAAUACCCCGCUGUUCUGACGGUACCCAAAGAAUAAGCAACGGCUAACUUCGUG
rnacentral:rRNA from 1 species